UACAGAGGGUGCAAGCGUUGUUCGGAAUUAUUGGGCGUAAAGCGCGUGUAGGCGGCAUUGCAAGUCGGGUGUGAAAGCCCUCAGCUCAACUGAGGAAGUGCGCCCGAAACUGCAGUGCUUGAGUACCGGAGAGGAUGGCGGAAUUCCCCAAGUAGAGGUGAAAUUCGUAGAUAUGGGGAAGGAACACCGGUGGCGAAGGCGGCGUUCUGGACUGCAACUGACACUGGAGGAACGAAAGCCAGGGGAGCAAACGGG
rnacentral:rRNA from 1 species